rnacentral:rRNA from 1 species
UGAACGCUGGCGGCGUGCCUAAUACAUGCAAGUCGAGCGAACAGACGAGGAGCUUGCUCCUCUGACGUUAGCGGCGGACGGGUGAGUAACACGUGGAUAACCUACCUAUAAGACAGGGAUAACUUCGGGAAACCGGAGCUAAUACCGGAUAAUAUAUUGAACCGCAUGGUUCAAUAGUGAAAGACGGUUUUGCUGUCACUUAUAGAUGGAUCCGCGCCGCAUUAGCUAGUUGGUAAGGUAACGGCUUACCAAGGCAACGAUGCGUAGCCGACCUGAGAGGGUGAUCGGCCACACUGGAACUGAGACACGGUCCAGACUCCUACGGGAGGCAGCAGUAGGGAAUCUUCCGCAAUGGGCGAAAGCCUGACGGAGCAACGCCGCGUGAGUGAUGAAGGUCUUCGGAUCGUAAAACUCUGUUAUUAGGGAAGAACAAAUGUGUAAGUAACUAUGCACGUCUUGACGGUACCUAAUCAGAAAGCCACGGCUAACUACGUG